rnacentral:lncRNA from 1 species
GUUGGUGGUGGCGGUGACAGAGACUGCAGCAUGACCAGAGUGGCUUUUCUGGCUUUGCCCGCCCAGCUGCUCCAUGCCAGGAGGAGGAGGAGACACCUAGAGCCUGCAACACCACGGCUCGCCUCGCUACAGGUGGGUGGCAGUGACGGAGACUGCAGUGCACCAGAGCGCCCCCACAUCACCCAACCAACCAGCAGAGAUCCUCCUUCCCAAGAAACAGA